CAAGAUUCCUUUUUUUUUUAAAAAAGAUUUUAUUUCUUUCCUUUGUCCCCCAAAGUCCCCUGGUACAUAGUUAUAUAUUCUUCGUUGUGGGUCCUUCUAUUGUGGCAUGUGGGAUGCUGCCUCAGCGUGGUUUGAUGAGCAGUGCCAUGUCCAUGCCCAGGAUUCGAACUGACAAAACACUAGGCCACCUGCAGCGGAGCGCACGAACUUAACCACUCAGCCACGGGGCCAGCCCCAAGACAAGAUUUCUUGAGGAUUCCAAAUACAGAUCCAUCUGCCAAACUGUCCUGCUUAGUGGAAGGGGAGGAACCACGAAAAUUUACAGGAAAUUUCCCCUCACUGUAAGUUUCCCAGUAUCAGGGACAGAGCCUGUUAUGUGUCUGGCACAAAGAGAAAUAUCAACAUUUGAUUUAUUGGUGGAUGGCUGGGUGGUACUUUCAAGUCUAGCUGCCCUGGAGUCCUCAGGCUGCUGUAACCCACGUUGCCAGCAGGGGCAUCAGGCCAGGCUGAAAGGGGCUGAGGCUGCUGAGUGACUCCACAGGCCAUGGUGGCAGACGCCCUGGGGAUUCUGGGCUGAAUGGAGGACCUGAACUGUCUCUGCUCAGGACCUUUGUGUACAAGGUGUGAAAAUGGCAUUUUCUCAACGUCCAUACUGAAUGUAAGUAGUUUUGUAAAUCCUUCCCCAUUAGAUAAGCAAAAAAUUAUUAAUAUUUUAAUGUGCAUUGAUUAUUUAGUGAGCUUUUACUUUUUUCCAAAUUUUUAUUAGCUUUUUAAAAACUUGCCUAUUAAUGUUCUUAGCCAAGCUUCUUAGAGCCACGGAUAAUGUAGAUGGUAAGAGCUGAAGAAUCUAUAAUGAGCAUGUACCAUAUUUUACCAUUUUCCUUUUUGGAAAUUAAUACUGAUUUCCAAUUUGGGGUCUAUUAUUAAACAAUGAUGUAAUGAACAUCUUUAUGAAUAAUGUGCACACGCACGUGCACACACACACUUUAGACCUCAUUUAGGAAUAAAUCCUAGAAGAAAAAUCA
rnacentral:lncRNA from 1 species